AGUAUGUUGAUGUAGACCCGAAACCAAGUGACCUACCCAUGACCAGGUUGAAGAUGCGGUAAAACGCAUUGGAGGACCGAACCCGUGUAUGUUGAAAAAUGCUGGGAUGAGUUGUGGGUAGCGGUGAAAUUCCAAACGAACUUGGAGAUAGCUGGUUCUCUCCGAAAUAGCUUUAGGGUUAGCCUCGGGGAUUAGGAUUAUGGAGGUAGAGCACUGUUUGGACUAGGGGCCCGUCUUGGGUUACUGAAUUCAGAUAAACUCCGAAUACCAUCAAUCUAUACCCGGGAGUCAGACGAUGAGUGAUAAGAUCCACCGUCGAAAGGGAAACAGCCCAGAUCACCAGUUAAGGUCCCAAAAUUCAUGCUAAGUGGAAAAGGAUGUGGAAACGCAUAGACAACUAGGAUGUUGGCUCAGAAGCAGCCAUUCAUUCAAAGAGUGCGUAAUAGCUCACUAGUCGAGUGAUUCUGCGCCGAAAAUGUACCGGGGCUAAGCAUGAUACCGAAACUGUGGAUGUGUCGUAAGACACGUGGUAGGAGAGCGUUGUAAGAGCAUUGAAGCUGUACCGUGAGGAGCAGUGGAGUUCUUAGAAGUGAGAAUGCCGGUAUGAGUAACGAAAGACCAGUGAGAAUCUGGUCGGCCGAAAGACUAAGGUUUCCUGGGGAAGGCUCGUCCUCCCAGGGUUAGUCGGGGCCUAAGAUGAGACCGAGAGGUGUAAUCGAUGGAUAACGGGUUGAUAUUCCCGUACUAGUUUAUUUUGUUUGAACGAUGGAAGGACGCAGGAGGAUGAUGUGUGCACGCUGAUGGAUAUGCGUGUCCAAGCAGUAAGUCUUGAUAAGAGUCAAAUGCUUUUAUCUCUAAGGACAAGCUGUGAUGGGGAGUGAAAUUUUAGUAGCGAAGCACAGUAACUCACACUGCCGAGAAAAGUUCCUAGUUAGAAAUAAACUACCCGUACCGCAAACCGACACAGGUAGUCGAGGAGAGUAUCCUAAGGUCAGCGAGUGAACUCUCGUUAAGGAACUCGGCAAAAUGACCCCGUAACUUCGGGAGAAGGGGUGCUGGUGUAACAGCCAGCCGCAGUGAAUAGGCCCAAACAACUGUUUAUCAAAAACACAGGUCUAUGCUAAAUCGUAAGAUGACGUAUAUGGGCUGACGCCUGCCCGGUGCUGGAAGGUUAAGAGGAUCAGUUAGCUUUUGCGAAGCUGAGAAUUGAAGCCCCAGUAAACGGCGGCCGUAACUAUAACGGUCCUAAGGUAGCGAAAUUCCUUGUCGGGUAAGUUCCGACCCGCACGAAAGGCGUAAUGAUUUGGGCACUGUCUCAACGAGAGACUCGGUGAAAUUAUAAUACCCGUGAAGAUGCGGGUUACCCGCGACAGGACGGAAAGACCCCAUGGAGCUUUACUGUAGCUUGAUAUUGAGUUUUUGUGUGACAUGUACAGGAUAGGUAGGAGCCGUUGAUUUCGGAACGCUAGUUUCGAAGGAGGCAUUGGUGGGAUACUACCCUUGUUAUAUGAAAACUCUAACCCACGCCGCUUAGCGCGGUGGGGGACAGUGUCUGGUGGGCAGUUUGACUGGGGCGGUCGCCUCCUAAAAUGUAACGGAGGCGCUCAAAGGUUCGCUCAGAAUGGUUGGAAAUCAUUCGCAGAGUGUAAACGUAUAAGCGAGCUUGACUGCGAGACUGACAAGUCGAGCAGGGACGAAAGUCGGAGUUAGUGAUCCGGUGGUACCAUAUGGAAGGGCCAUCGCUCAACGGAUAAAAGCUACCCUGGGGAUAACAGGCUUAUCUCCCCCAAGAGUUCACAUCGACGGGGAGGUUUGGCACCUCGAUGUCGGCUCAUCGCAUCCUGGGGCUGUAGUCGGUCCCAAGGGUUGGGCUGUUCGCCCAUUAAAGCGGUACGCGAGCUGGGUUCAGAACGUCGUGAGACAGUUCGGUCCCUAUCCGUCGCGGGCGUAGGAAAUUUGAGAGGAGCUGUCCUUAGUACGAGAGGACCGGGAUGGACAUACCUCUGGUGUACCAGUUGUGCCGCCAGGCGCAUCGCUGGGUAGCUACGUAUGGACGGGAUAAACGCUGAAAGCAUCUAAGUGUGAAGCCCCCCUCGAGAUGAGAUUUCCCAUUCC
rnacentral:rRNA from 1 species